UAUAUAGGAAGGCAGUCUAAGUUCGCGACGUCGUGUCGCAACGACUGCAUGACCUGCAUCCGGCAGG
rfam:Sporosarcina psychrophila strain DSM 6497, complete genome.